UACGUAGGGUGCGAGCGUUAUCCGGAAUUACUGGGCGUAAAGAGCUCGUAGGUGGUUUGUCGCGUUGUUCGUGAAAACUCACAACUCAAUUGUGGGCGUGCGGGCGAUACGGGCAGACUGGAGUACUGCAGGGGAGACUGGAAUUCCUGGUGUAGCGGUGGAAUGCGCAGAUAUCAGGAGGAACACCGGUGGCGAAGGCGGGUCUCUGGGCAGUAACUGACGCUGAGGAGCGAAAGCGUGGGGAGCGAACAGG
rnacentral:rRNA from 1 species